rnacentral:rRNA from 1 species
UACGAAGGGGGCUAGCGUUGCUCGGAAUUACUGGGCGUAAAGCGCACGUAGGCGGAUUGUUAAGUCAGGGGUGAAAUCCCGGAGCUCAACUCCGGAACUGCCUUUGAUACUGGCAAUCUAGAGUCCGGAAGAGGUGAGUGGAACUCCUAGUGUAGAGGUGGAAUUCGUAGAUAUUAGGAAGAACACCAGUGGCGAAGGCGGCUCACUGGUCCGGUACUGACGCUGAGGUGCGAAAGCGUGGGGAGCAAACAGG